rnacentral:lncRNA from 1 species
UUUCUUCCGUCACGUAACUUACAGCCAAACAAGGAAAGAUCAAUUGUCUGAGGACUGUUACUACAGGAAAGACUGUGCUAACCUUUAUAACUAACACUUUGCCAGAAGUCCAAACUUUUGUACGCCACAGCUGUUUCUCAGAAAGGAUGUGUCAAGAGCCCUUUGAGAUAACAGUCCUUAGGAUUGGAUUGAGGGAAAAUUCGGAGACCGCUCUACAGACUUUGGCAAAGGCAAACGUUUCCGGAUCUUCUAGAAGUUCCGACUUCACGAUUGUGUUCGUGUGAAAUAUGUUAGAAAUAAAAUGGUCACAUCUUAAUUCAAUGCUAUUUAUUAUUGAUUCAUUACAUCAAAGGAUGGAUUUAAACGGGAAGAUCAAGAGUCAAGGUGUUAGGAACCUUUGAGUUAUUUAGACUUUCCUCGUUGCCACAGCGUCA